GCCACCAUCACUUUCUGUCAGAAAAAAAUUAUUAAAGGAAAAGGAAAGAAAAACCAAAAGAUCUCAUUUAAAGUUGAUAGCAUAUUUCCUUCAUUUAAUAGCUCACUUUCUCUUUCAUUAUUAUGAAGCAAAAAAUAAGCUGAAACAAAAAUCUAACAAGGUGGACCUCCAUGAACUCAUCGACGGAGCAAAUGAAGACCACGGUGGAUCACAUGAAUAAAAUGGCGGAGCUCAAGAACUCACGGCGGCUCGCAUAAAGCUCAUGGCGGCCGGAGCUUCUCCGGCGCGGUGGCCGGAGUUAAAAAUAUCCGGAAUCAAAUUUUUUUUACAUCAUUAGAUUCGUUUCCUUCUCCUUAUUUCAAAUAUCAACUCAAAAAUUUCAGAAAAUAACCGAAAGAAACAAGAUCUACAAAAGAAGUUUGAAUGUUCUAAAUUCAAAAUGUAGCACAAUCAGUGCAAGAGUCACGAAAGUAAAGAGGAAUUCGGGUUCAGAAGAUGGAAGGCAACCUUUUAGUGUCAAGAACUGAAAGAACGGCGGAGGUUAAGAGCUCCGGCGCGGUGGUUCAGUGUUUUCCGGCGAGGGAUUUUGAAGUUCUGGCGAGGUUUUUUGAGCUCAGUUUCUGAAAAGAGCAUUGGGCUCAAGUUGUGACAAACUUGGAUCGGGAAGUUGUGGAAGUCCAAUUUGGCUCUGCAACCUAAAUCCGAAAAUCAUCAAGUUAUUCCAAUUUUAUUUUUUUGCACUCGUGUUGCUUGGAUGCUGGAUGGGCCUGGAUUUGUACUUUGGUGAGGAGGUGAACCCGAUGCCAAACCAUGAAACUUAG